CUGGAAAAGAGGAAGUUGGCCAGGGGUGGGUCAGUCCUGUGGUUAGGUACCCUUGCUCCAGACCAGGCUCCGAGAUGACAGCCGGGGUCUCUGCUCUGCGGAGGGCAGGAGGGCAGCACCCACUCCAUGGAGCCCUUCUCCUUUUUGUCAGCAGCUCAAAGACCUCUGGAGGCAAGGUUCUGAAUGCAAAGCCUGUGACCCACCCUCGGAUGGCAGCCCCUGCUCCCUCCCUGUGCCCCUAAAAGCUGACAGCCAUGUCCUCUUCUCUGCCAUGGCCAGGGAACGAGUAAGUGCCUGGGGAAGGUGGAGAGGGCAAUGGCUGGGAUGGUGGUGACUUG
rnacentral:lncRNA from 1 species